UACCAGCACCCCGAGUGGUCGGGACGUUUAUUGGGCCUAAAGCAUCCGUAGCCGGUUCUACAAGUCUUCCGUUAAAUCCACCUGCUUAACAGAUGGGCUGCGGAAGAUACUAUGGAGCUAGGAGGCGGGAGAGGCAAGCGGUACUCGAUGGGUAGGGGUAAAAUCCGUUGAUCCAUUGAAGACCACCAGUGGCGAAGGCGGCUUGCCAGAACGCGCUCGACGGUGAGGGAUGAAAGCUGGGGGG
rnacentral:rRNA from 1 species